CGGUUGCCGGGCGUAAGCCCAGUCUUGGCUCCUUUGAGCCCUGACGGACGGCGGCGGCGGUUUUCCGUCGCUUCUCUUCUUGAAGACGUUGUUUUGGCAACCCCUUGCUGUAGGGCGAUCUCGUAUCGGCGGCCGGUCACGCUUAGCGGCGGCCGGUCCGGUGCUAACCUUCUCCUGUCGUGUGUGUUGACGCUGCCGGUGUGUGGGUGGUGGUAUAUUUUUUCUUUUUCCUGGUUAUGA
rnacentral:lncRNA from 2 species